rnacentral:ncRNA from 5 species
ACUAUGACUCUCUUAAGGUAGCCAA